UACGUAGGUGGCAAGCGUUGUCCGGAUUUACUGGGCGUAAAGAGCGCGCAGGCGGUCGUUCAAGUCGCGUGUGAAAGCCCCCGGCUCAACUGGGGAGGGUCACGCGAUACUGAUCGACUGGAAGGCAGGAGAGGGUAGUGGAAUUCCCGGUGUAGUGGUGAAAUGCGUAGAUAUCCGGAGGAACACCGGUGGCGAAGGCGGCUUCCUGGACCGACACUGACGCUGAGGCGCGAAAGCUAGGGGAGCAAACGGG
rnacentral:rRNA from 1 species